rnacentral:lncRNA from 1 species
CCAAUUGCAUAUAAAGCCUUCCUUUCGUUUUCACUUGUUUAACUCGUUAUGUAAAAAUUUGCAUUCCCUUGAAGCUUGCUAGUGCAGGCUAUAAAUGGCUUAUUUACAGAAUUACAUCGAGAGGGCAGAACCAAGGUAGGCGAAGAAGCAUAAACACAAGUGUCCGAGAAUGCCACUGAUUAAUAAGAUAGGGGAGUGUGAAUUCAGAUGU